rnacentral:rRNA from 1 species
AUAAUGGGUCAGCGACUUAUAUUCUGUAGCAAGGUUAACCGAAUAGGGGAGCCGAAGGGAAACCGAGUCUUAACUGGGCGUUAAGUUGCAGGGUAUAGACCCGAAACCCGGUGAUCUAGCCAUGGGCAGGUUGAAGGUUGGGUAACACUAACUGGAGGACCGAACCGACUAAUGUUGAAAAAUUAGCGGAUGACUUGUGGCUGGGGGUGAAAGGCCAAUCAAACCGGGAGAUAGCUGGUUCUCCCCGAAAGCUAUUUAGGUAGCGCCUCGUGAAUUCAUCUCCGGGGGUAGAGCACUGUUUCGGCAAGGGGGUCAUCCCGACUUACCAACCCGAUGCAAACUGCGAAUACCGGAGAAUGUUAUCACGGGAGACACACGGCGGGUGCUAACGUCCGUCGUGAAGAGGGAAACAACCCAGACCGCCAGCUAAGGUCCCAAAGUCAUGGUUAAGUGGGAAACGAUGUGGGAAGGCCCAGACAGCCAGGAUGUUGGCUUAGAAGCAGCCAUCAUUUAAAGAAAGCGUAAUAGCUCACUGGUCGAGUCGGCCUGCGCGGAAGAUGUAACGGGGCUAAACCAUGCACCGAAGCUGCGG